GUUUCUAGAUGUUUAGAGAAUUAGAGCAAAAUUUUGUUGAGUAUCAUGUGACUGAAGCCUUUGAAAAUCCUUUAACAGAAACAAAAUGUGACAGAAGCCUGUUAGCGAUCGAAGUAAACAAUCAGAGAACAGCACCGAGACAAUUUGUUCACCCGGUGUUCGCUGAUCAAUUCACCGGAGAGGGAACGGCAUCCCUCAACUGACUCACUAUCAAACUCAAUCAAGCUUACAAGAUCUCAACAAUGGCGGAUCUAUACAACAGGAUACAAGAUCGAGAAAUGAAGCUCACUUGUCGUUUCUUCUGUGAGAUCGGAAAGUCACCUCCGGAAUAGUAUAUACCGUGUACCGUUUUCGCAACUCAUCGAUCCUCACCCUCACGACCUUGAGCUAAGUCUUUGCUCUCUUGUACUCUGCAACUUGAUUGUAUUCUCUCUCUGUUUUUCGUGAUAGCGACGAUGCCAGCUCACGAGUUUGUUAUAACAAACUCAUCCACUUGCUCACAUGAAAUUUCAUGCACCGUUUGAUUUUCAAGAUAGACAGGCUGAGACUUGGGCUUUCCUUUUUUGUGCAGGUUUGGGUUCCAGUUCAGUUAUUUCGGCUAUAGAAAUAUACGAAUCAUUCGGAUAUUUGAAGAUUUCAAUUCAGUUCUAAUUUUGGGUAUUUCGGUUCGGUUCCUUAGUUUCAGCUUUUUUUUCCUAGGCCUAGGGGUGGACGUUCGGAUACCCACUCGGUUCGGUUCGGUUCGGAUCUAUUCGUGUUUCGGAUUUUCAGGGUCAAAAAUUUCAGCCUCAUUUGGGUAUUUUUAAAUUUCGGUCCGGAUUCGGUUAGGAUCUUUGUGGGUUCGAUUCGGAUAAUCUAUUUAAAUUACUUUUAAUUUUUUUU